AUGGAGUUUGAGCUCAGCUGGGUUUUCCUUCUUGCUAUUUUACGAGGUAAUUUAUGGAGAGCAAAAGACACAGAUGUCCAGUGUGAUGUGCAGCUGGUGGAGUCUGGGGGAGGCCUGCUGCAGCCUGGGGUGUCUCUGAGACUUUCUUGUACAGCCUCUGGAUUCAAGUUUGAUGGCCAUAGCAUGAACUGGGUCCGCCAGUCACAAGGAAAGGGGCUGGAGUGGGUCUCAUACAUCAGGUGGGGUAGUGCUUACAUAUACUACACCAACUCUGUGAAAGGCCGAUUCACCAUCUCCAGAGACAACAACAAGAACACAGUCUACUUGCAAAUGAACAGUCUGAGAGCUGAGGACGCAGCCCUGUAUUACUGUGCUAGAGACACAGUGAGGGCAACUCAGGGUAAGGCCAGACAUAAACUUCCUUCAGCAGGGGCUGUGACCACCAGGGGAAGCUCAGUGUUCCUGGAAACAAGGACCAUCACAGGAGCAGAUGCACUUUGA